rnacentral:rRNA from 1 species
UAAGACGUAGAAGGCGAGCGUUAUCCGGAUUUAUUGGGCGUAAAGAGGGCGUAGGCGGCUCUUCAAGUCAGAUGUAAAAUCUCCCGGCUCAACUGGGAGGGACCAUUUGAUACUGUUGGGCUAGAGUGCGGCAGAGGGAGGUGGAAUUCCCGGUGUAGUGGUGAAAUGCGUAGAUAUCGGGAGGAACACCAGUGGCGAAGGCGGCCUCCUGGGCUGUUACUGACGCUGAGGCCCGAAGGCGUGGGGAGCAAACAGGAUUAGAUACCCUGGUAGUCCACGCAGUAAACGAUGGACACUAGGUAUGGGGAGUAUCGACCCUCUCCGUGCCGAAGCUAACGCUUUAAGUGUCCCGCCUGGGGAGUACGGUCGCAAGACUA